rnacentral:rRNA from 1 species
UACGGAGGGUGCGAGCGUUGUCCGGAAUCACUAGGCGUAAAGGGCGCGUAGGCGGCCUGAUAAGUAGGGGUGAAAUCCUGCGGCUUAACCGCAGGGCUGCCUUCUAAACUGUCAGGCUCGAGCACAGUAGAGGCAGGUGGAAUUCCCGGUGUAGCGGUGGAAUGCGUAGAGAUCGGGAAGAACAUCAGUGGCGAAGGCGGCUACCUGGCCCAAUACUGACACUCAGGUGCGACAGCGUGGGGAGCAAACAGG